AAGAACAAGGAAGAGAAGUGGGUUAUUUUCUGUGCUUUUGUUCUUUGUUUUUCGCUCCUUUCUCGCUUCCCUCGUUCUCUUCUUUCACUCAGUCCAUUGAAAAGGAGCGAAACACAAAGGAAAAGCACAGGAAAUAAGACUUGGAAACAGAGGUUGGGUUAUUGUGUUCUUUUCUUUUUGCUUCAUUUCAAUGGAACGGAAAGAAAGAGA
rnacentral:ribozyme from 1 species